rnacentral:rRNA from 1 species
AUUGAACGCUGGCGGCAGGCCUAACACAUGCAAGUCGAGCGGAUGAAGGGAGCUUGCUCCUGGAUUCAGCGGCGGACGGGUGAGUAAUGCCUAGGAAUCUGCCUGGUAGUGGGGGAUAACGUCCGGAAACGGGCGCUAAUACCGCAUACGUCCUGAGGGAGAAAGUGGGGGAUCUUCGGACCUCACGCUAUCAGAUGAGCCUAGGUCGGAUUAGCUAGUUGGUGGGGUAAAGGCCUACCAAGGCGACGAUCCGUAACUGGUCUGAGAGGAUGAUCAGUCACACUGAACUGAGAACCGGUCCAGACUCCUACGGGAGGCAGCAGUGGGGAAUAUUGGACAAUGGGCGAAAGCCUGAUCCAGCCAUGCCGCGUGUGUGAAGAAGGUCUUCGGAUUGUAAAGCACUUUAAGUUGGGAGGAAGGGCAGUAAGUUAAUACCUUGCUGUUUUGACGUUACCAACAGAAUAAGCACCGGCUAACUUCGUG